rnacentral:rRNA from 1 species
AACGUAGGGGACAAGCGUUAUCCGGAUUUACUGGGCGUAAAGCGCCCGUAGGCGGCUUUUUAAGUUGGACGUGAAAGCUCCCGGCUUAACUGGGAGAGGCCGUUCAAAACUGAGAAGCUCGAGUGAGGAAGAGGAGAGCAGAAUUCCCGGUGUAGUGGUGGAAUGCGUAGAGAUCGGGAGGAAUACCAGUGGCGAAGGCGACUACCUGGCCUGUUCUUGACGCUGAGGCGCGAAAGCUAGGGGAGCAAACGGG